AAGAUUAUACUUUCAGGGAUCAUUUCUAUAGUUUGUUACUAGAGAAGUUUCUCUGAACGUGUAGAGUACCCAAAACCAUGAAGAGGAGGCGCAGCCUUCUCUCCUGAGCAUGAAGCCGGCUCUUGGUGUUGCUUCUGCAACUGCCAUUUGCCAGUGAUGAUCAUUCUUCUCCUCCUUUGGGAGAGUAAGACGAGGGAGGAUGCUGUCUGAGUAGA
ensembl:snoRNA U3 Small nucleolar RNA U3